rnacentral:rRNA from 1 species
UACGGGGGGGGCAAGCGUUGUUCGGAAUUACUGGGCGUAAAGGGCCAGUAGGCGGCCAACUAAGUCCGACGUGAAAUCCCCAGGCUUAACCUGGGAACUGCGUCGGAUACUGGAUGGCUUGAAUUCGGGAGAGGGAUGCAGGAAUUCCAGGUGUAGCGGUGAAAUGCGUAGAUAUCUGGAGGAAUACCGGUGGCGAAGGCGGCAUCCUGGACCGAGAUUGACGCUGAACGGCGAAAGCUAGGGGAGCGAAACGGG